AUGCUGUUACUGCUAUUAUUAGGAUGUUCUGUGCUUUGGUGUUCUCGGAAGGCAAUCCCAACAGAAGUCAGAACUGCUUUCUGUAGUUAGCCACAAUAAGCUUGGACCUAAACCAACCACCCAACAAAUGGUAUUUGCCUUGAUAAGCUGCCCCUAGGACGGACCACAACAUAAGAGACACGUGCACCUAUUUAGAAUAAGACUUCCAUUUUGAGUAGUGGUUAAGUAAAGUUUAAGUCCCCAAGACCUUCCUGGGAACUUCCUGGGACAUAUGUAUGUGGGUAACUGAAAUCCUUGUUGACAGUUAAGAAAUAAAUGUAGCAAGCCUCCUGCCAUAGUUGAAUACCCCGACCAAUGGGGAGCAGGAUAAGUGUACAACAAGGACAAGUUCCUAAGGAAAUCUCCUACCCCUAAAUCUUGAUUGGUGGAAUAACUUGGCACAGAUGUUUGUGGAUUUUAGGCUUAACAGGAUUUUAACUCAUCACAGCUCAGCUCCAGAAUCUGGACCAUGGCCCUGAUUGGUCAGUCCUGGCGCAAAUGCUCAUCAAAUUGCCCCUGUCUGACUGAGACCAGAGUUCAUGUGGUUUGUGAGGCGACUCCUGGACCCCAACAUUGUUAUAAAAACAAUCUCUUUUUUAAAGCUGAUUAUAGGCCAGGUGUAGUGGUGCAUGCCUAUAAUCCCUGAAUUCAGGAGGCAGAGCCAAAUCUUGGAUCACACUGUGACCCCUGAAAUUGAUUUAUUUACUAAAGAGAGAAAAAAAAAAAAAAACCUGUUUCUAGUUAUGGUGUGGCUCAACCCUAGCACAUACCUUUAAUCCAAGAGCUUUUGGUUUAUUGUAAACAAGAUUAAAUAAAGUCAACCCUCUGUCAAACAACCAGUUGACAGAGAGUGAACGU
rnacentral:lncRNA from 1 species